rnacentral:rRNA from 1 species
UGGGGAAUAUUGCACAAUGGGCGCAAGCCUGAUGCAGCCAUGCCGCGUGUGUGAAGAAGGCCUUCGGGUUGUAAAGCACUUUCAGCGAGGAGGAAGGGUUCAGUGUUAAUAGCACUGUUCAUUGACGUUACUCGCAGAAGAAGCACCGGCUAACUCCGUGCCAGCAGCCGCGGUAAUACGGAGGGUGCAAGCGUUAAUCGGAAUUACUGGGCGUAAAGCGCACGCAGGCGGUUUGUUAAGUCAGAUGUGAAAUCCCCGCGCUUAACGUGGGAACUGCAUUUGAAACUGGCAAGCUAGAGUCUUGUAGAGGGGGGUAGAAUUCCAGGUGUAGCGGUGAAAUGCGUAGAGAUCUGGAGGAAUACCGGUGGCGAAGGCGGCCCCCUGGACAAAGACUGACGCUCAGGUGCGAAAGCGUGGGGAGCAAAACAGGAUUAGAUACCCUGGUAGUCCACGCUGUAAACGAUGUCGACUUGGAGGUUGUGCCCUUGAGGCGUGGCUUCCGGAGCUAACGCGUUAAGUCGACCGCCUG